GGAAACUAAUACGUAGAGCGCAGUUUACACAUGUGACAGCGAGAGAGGUGGAAAUUGUGAGCCAAUUAUUUGUGCCCGAUUGGAGGAGUGAAAGGCAUGAUGCAGCAAUCACAGAAUAGGUCUCACAGAUGAGGUGAAAAUGAAUCCAUCUAGCAAGCACAGGAAAAUUCCCACUCCCACUGGAUCCCAACCACACAACUAAAGUUACUAUAAUUGAACUUGGCCUGUAGGCUUUCUUGAUUUUGUGCUUUUAUAUUCUGCUCUGCUUCCUACAAGCAUGAAAAGUAAGAAGUAGUGCGUGCUUUGUACCUCAUCUCUUUUGCUCUCCUUUAUUUAAUGUUUUGAAAAUCAUUGUUGCUAAUUUGUGUCAAUCUAGUUUAGCUCCUAAAGGAACUGAGCCACCCCAUCAUUCUUCCAGACAAGAAAUAGCAGAAAUGUCAUCGUGACUAUGAUUCAAAUGAUAGUAAGAAUUAUCUUUCAAAGAAGUUGAGAUGACUCAUGAAAAACACUUUUCAACAAUAAAAAGUGUUAUGUUUCUUAUUAAAAAGUUUUUCAGGAAAGCAUGAGACCAAAGCCACAGCUUAUUAGAAAUAAUAAGCUAUAUAUUGAUUGUCAUGCUGUAUCUUUUGUCUUUGGACCAAGACAGAUGAUACAGUAGAAUCAUUUGCACAGAUCUGUAAUAAAAGGAAUAAUAGACCUGGAGCCAUGGGUAAGCUCCUUCCAACACCGUCAGUGUGCUGCUCUGAAUCAAUAGCUACUUAAAUGUUUUAAUAAGUUCUCUUUUAGACAACUGUGACUGACGCAGCAUGCUGUAUUCCUUUUGUAGGAAACAGCAGGUUGGCCAUGGAUGUACGUCUGUAUACCACAGUAUGAGCAAGAGCCUUGAUAGAGAUUGUAUUACCCCAGAGAUUGAACUCAGAGCUGCUAUUUUGAAGGUAGAAGGCACCUCUUCUCUCUGCAAAGAUUUGUUGAAGCAUGUGGAGAUGGACUGAACCAAGGUGGGGCGACAGGAUCUAAAGAGAGUUGCAGGUACCGGGCCAAGGGAGCAAAUGGUGCAGGUCGAACUGGGAGUGAUUCCCUGCAGAGGCAAACCGAGAGGUGUGUCCCACAUUGCUAAUGUUACAAUAUGUAAUGCCUGGAUACUUACAUGAACAUGAGCAUUUGAACAUUUUCAGGGAACCUGUGGAGUUUUCUUUUAAGCAAAUAUUUACAUGUAGUUACUCAAAAAAAAACACAUUGUGUGAACCCAUGAGCUUUAAGAAAUGUGUUGUCUUGGAGAUUCUACGUUCAGUAGUGUUUACAUCCAUAUUUAGGUUGUCGUUUUUUCCCGUGUCUAUCUUAAGUGAAAUAGUGUGAAGCCAUUGCCAGGACCGUCUCACAGGUUACCAAUGUGUGCACGCAACAUAAAUCAAACAGGGACUCACUCAUAGAAACAUCUUCCAAUGUCUCCCUGCGGCCAAAGAAUCCUCCUUUAACAAAGUAAAAUGCUGUUAAGUAACCAUUGGUUUAAAUACAUAACCACUAGUUCUAUUUUUAAGAUUCCCUCAAGAUGCAGACAGAUUUCUGAAUGCUUUUUCAAAGUGUAAAUGUUCUGUUAACAUGGACGGAAAAACGCAGGUGUUGUUAAUAAGCUCGAUAACAGUAGAUGUGUGUAGUGUAGAAAGAAAGAAAGAAAGAAAACAUUACUAAUUUUGCAUAUGGCUGCUUCUCCAGCUUCCUAAUCUUACCUCAUCUGUUGUAAUCUGCACAUUCACUGACAGCUAACAUGAAUACAUGUCAUUGGGGUGACUUUAUCUUCUUACUGGCACUGGAAUUGUUUCUGCUCAAAAAUAUUAAAAAAUAAGUUGUUUAGUAAUUCAAUGAGCACAAAGUAAAAAACACUUGGCUUAAAUAACCGAACAUCAUUGGUGUAUAGUGUUUUUUUAUGUACAAAUGUAGAGACCCUUGUGUUGAUCUUUCUUUGAUCACAAUCAUUCACGCCGGGGAAUAAGUGAAAAGCAUUUUGGGCACCAGAGUGGGCAAACCGAUGCUCUUUAUGGAACCAUAGGAAGGAUACACACACACACACACACACACACACACACACACACACACACACACAAACAAACAGUCAUGCGCACGGCCAUGCUGUCGCUUUCUUUCCCUUUUCCCUUUCUGCUUCACAACAGAAGGCGGCUUAUUGAACAAAGCUCUGGGGUGGGAGCACAUUCCAUCAUUUCCAAUAUGAAACUAGUCUCAUUUUUCUCUUUCUCUCUUGGUUUCCAUCCAUACUCCAGUUCUCUCUUUCAUAUCUCCCACAUUAGUACCAGUUCCUCUCUUUCGUCCGCUUUCCUUGUCGUGUCUCCUCUGUCUGUAGACCAGGUAAUUCCCUCUGCAUCCUCCUCUGGGCAAACGAGAUGACCCACUGCUUUAGAAUUACCUCAGCGCUCUCCUGUUCUUCUGCCAUUAUUCUAUUAGUACCUACUACACAAUAAUCAUCAGGGUGGAAAUUGGAUGUAAUAGCUAAGAGCAGAAUGGGGAAUGAACAAUGAUGCAGGACGCAAUUAAAUGGCUUCGGUUUUUCCCAAAUGAAUUCAGUCAUCUCCGCACUAAAUAGAAGGGCUCAAAUGAAAUAGUUAUUAAUGUUGUUGAAAGCAAGUGUCUGUAAUUUUCCAAAAUGCAGCUCUAAAUCAUUUCCUGCUUUGUAAGUAAACAGUGAUGAAGGAUGUUUCCUCUUAAAAAGCAAAGGGGCGAUGCAUCAUUUUCUUCACCACUAUUGUACGUGUUGAAUGGAACACAGUUUUUUCUCAAUCGCUUUGCUUUCAAUGUGUACUUUUUGUAUUAUUUAAAGCAAUGAGUUGAAAUCUCAUUCAAACAGUUAGUUUGUUGAUCACAACUGCUUAGGAUGUAUCAUUCAUUCAAACAAACGUCAUGUGUUUUGGACAAUGAGUGAAAAAAACGUGCCAUUGGUUGGGUAUCAAUUAACGAUGACCACAAGGGUUAAUGGUCAAAACGGAUACUGAUUCUUAGUGAAAUUGUGAUUUUCUUCCCUUCUAAACGUGAUUUCUUCAUUUGAGCAAUGACGUGCAUAUAAAUCAACAUUUUGACCAGUAUUGCUGAAAUAAUGACAAAACAACUUUUCAUUUUGGUAGGAUUGGAAAAUGUAUUGACACAAACGCAUUGUUUUAUAGAGUUGCAGGGUGCCAUGUAACAGUUGUGACAAUUCAACUUAGGGUUUUAGGAGUAUUAAGAACAUCACACCUUUUCACCAUUUUUUGAGAAAAAAAUCUUAGUAGAUGAUCCUCUAAAUGAAAGAAGUAUGACUUCCGCCACAUACCAAUCACCUUCGUUAUGUUAUCACAAGUGUUUAAUUAAAAAGUCUGUGCAAAGACAUCUCUGAUACAGCCGUUGAUCUCUCUCCUGCUGUCCAUUGACUCCCAGCCAAUAACUUCGAUGGCUCUCCAGUCGAUGACAAGCUUUGUCACGAUUCUCACAGACAGCUGCUGUUGUUGUUUGCUUCUGGUGUUCAUUCAGUCAGUAUUCUGUAUAUACUUUGCCUUCUCUCUACAAAAACAUCUAAAUAAACUUGAUAAUAUGAAAGAUUUUCUCCCACUUGGCGCUCCGUUCUCUCUUAAAGUGCCCUGCAGCAUGUCAAGUCAAUGAACACGUAAUAGGUAGACUUCAACCCAACACUCGUCUUGUGGAAAACAUGGAGCAAAACGGUUAUCAGUCAUUUUCUGGUUGUCAUCUUGUUCAGGUUUGGCACAUUUGAUAAACUGUCACUCCCGUCCUGAAUGAGUCAGUUUUAGUAUCUUUGUGUGAAAUGGGGGUCACAAAAAAGAUAUAUAAUUUCUUUCUUAUUUCCCUGACAUUAAUUCUAAUACAGGUGAAAUAAAUUGAUAUACAAAUACUCAGAAGAAAGGCUUAGUGUUUUUAUGUCAUAAUGUAAAGUCUAAAUCUAAAAAGCACAACAAUUACAUUUAGCAGCACUCAGAUUCUCAGAAUCACAGUUUGUUUCCUGUGUUAAGAUAACUCAAGGCAGUUUUGUGUGCAUGUAAAUGUAGUCAUUUUUGUUAUAUUGUGGCAUUGUUGAAGACUGGUUUUAGCUACAUUUAAUCUUUCAAACUGCAGCAUUAGCGCCAUUUAUGUGGAACAUGUGUCAACAUGGCCACCAUUGGAAGCACAUAAUAAAUAUGUAUGUAUAUAUAAUGUACAGAUAUACAAAGACAAGAAUCUGUUGCCUGACAAGUGAAAUUGAGUGCUGAAGGCUGCAGGGAGGUUGUCAUUCGGGUGUAGCGUACCACCUGGUGUUUGCACACACACACACAUUUCCUCCACCCAGAAGGAUUGGAUUUGCAUGAGCACUAUAAAGGCCCUCAAUUUAUAGCACAGUUAUGAUGCAAUGCACCUCACCAACCUAAAUGGUCACAAAAUAUGAGAUAGGGCUGGCGUUUUCAUAUGCGAAUUUUAAAAGACAGAUUCACGAAACCGCAAUUGAACACAUUUUUUGUUCCCGUGUGGGAAGUUGGUGAGGGGCCACAUUUGUGUCGCUACUCCACUGACGAUUUGAAGGCAUAAUACGAAUCUCCACACCAAUGGGUGAUAAAUGGAAGACAGGGAAGCUGAAUCCAAAGAGGUAGGACCCAUUUAUUUCAAUUACAGUAGAGCUGCUCAACCAGCACACACACUGAAAAAGUCCCCCGACUUCAGUACACACAUGCUAUCAUGAGUGCCGUCCAGCUGUCUGCAAGCGUGCAAAUAAUAUUUUGCGGGCUUCAAAUUGGCUUUAUUAGAUUUAGCAAUGCUAGGCUGCAAUUGCACUCAAUUUAGAUCUUAAUAAGUAGAUAAUAUUGAACUAAAUACAUUUAAUUUCUUCAUCAGUGAAUUUCUGAUGAAUCUAAUGAAAUUUAUCUGCAGGCCAAAAUGACAGAAAAUCAACAAUAACAACGGUGAAAUCACACUUUAAUACAUAACAUUCUUGAAAAAAAAAAGAUUUUGCACUUCAUUUUAAUACCUUUAGAUUUGUACGUAUAUAGUAUCAUAUUAGAAGCAUCAGAAAAAAAUGUCCAUGCUACAGUAAUCUGCUUAUCUUGACCAUAGCUAUAAGAAAUUGAUAUUGACUUCCCUUAAUCCCUUGUGACGGCUCCCCUCAGCAGUCGCCACGGUGCAGGAUGCUGGUGGGAUGAGUUUGAUGAAAGAAAGAAAGCAUUUGACCGAGCAGCAAUUUACAAGACCUGAUAAAAUGAGAUUAUAUAUCUCAUGAUACAACCUUAUUUUUGCAGAAAAUAUGAUUAACAGUCAAACAUUUUUCACUUUUUGAUGUAGGUGUAUAGUUGAGCGUUUGUUAGAAGGGAGGAGGGGCAAGCAGGAUAAUCUGGACUCAUUAAUUCAGUAUUUCUAAAAUCCUUCCUAUAACCAUAACACAUACGAUUAAAGGGGAACAAAUUAUUUAAGUGAUUAGUUUUACAAGAAACAUAUAGUCACUCGGGAUGAGGGUUGAGGAGAACACACGGGGGGAAAGACGUUGAAAGAAGUGUUAAAAAGAAAUGGAAGUGAGAGUACAGAGAGGGAAUGUGCAAAGGAGAAAGUGUGCACCACAGAGAGAACGCGAGAGAGCGAGAACAAUAGAAAGUGGAGAAGUGAGAGCAAGCCUCUGGGAGAAGAGGCAUCGGCAGAAUUUCAAGUCUUGCUCAUGGGGCUGCUCUCACACCUUGACCUCCACUGCUCUUGCCUGGGAAUAGCUCAAGGCCCGCCAGACAUUGUUCAGGGCUGUAAUUCACUUUGGAACUGGAAGAUAAAGAGCAAAGACAAAUCCAAUGUAAAAUUCAACUUGUUGGUCUUUUAUUUUAUUUGCAGUCACAGUGGAGCAGAUGAAAACACAGUUGUGUCCACUGUUGGUGGGAUAAGUACAAACGUUUGGUUAUUUUUUACUGCAGCACUGAAGGUAGGAGGGAUAUGCUCAUAAAUGGACAUUUUCCUCCUACUUUCCCUCGUUGAGAGAAGCAUUACACACACCUACCAGCGCGCAGACAACACUCUGCAAACUAUUAAUAGAUAUUUGUCCUCUUUUUGUUUGAGAGAAAGUAGCACAUAUUCGGUAAGCUGCUGUCUUAAACCGCCCAUCUCUACCUGAGCUUAGCAGGCGCCUCAUUGUACACAGAGAAUCAGUGGAAUAUAUCUCCUCUUUAAAUAGCGCUCAGACUCCGAGAGACGGAUUAUUGCUCAGAUCAAAAAGAGGACCGUCUCCCGCGUGAAACAAGCAGCACCUCAAAUAUGCUCGUUAGUCUCAGGCGGUUAAACCGAACAUUGCAUUUGCACAAUAUAGUUUCAAAAGAUGGAUAAAGGCUUCGCGUUUGCGUCGAAACAAACCGAGAACAUCGCGGCCUUUCAUUCGAGAAAAAUGACAAACAAGAAAGCCGUACUUGAUGUAAAUUUAAGUUAUUUUGUUUCAUUGGGUAAGCGGUGAAGUAUCAUGAGCUGACAAACCUGCUACUACGGUGAAAUAAAUAAGGACCAUUUAAAAAGAAAUACAAACGGGCCGUGGAAGCUUCUAACACCUGCCGUGGGUGAGUGAUGGAUCACUUUGAUUUGAGUAGGCACAGACUGAUUGUGAUUGUUUUGUGAAAUAACUGCUGCGGUGAUUUUCAGAGGGAUCAUUAUGAGAGAGAAAACAUGCUUCCGGCAAAACUCGAUUUUAUUGCUCUGCCGGCGCUCACAUAGCGAGCUCGCUCAUAGAAACAAACACAUCACACACAUUUCUGUCGCCUCCAUAGCUUUAGCUUUGAGACAUUGAUUUUUAAACUGUUACGCACACAGACACACAAACACACACAGAAAACGCUAAAAAGCUAAUGAGCGUAACCAAUGCAACAUUACCGAGUUACAUUUUACUGAGGAUAUUCUGAGGAGUUCCUCUUUUAUAAUGCACCUAUUCUUGAUACAAGACAAAUGAGCUGAAGUGGCUGAAUUAAUUCCGCUCUGCACCACAUGCAACCCAAGGGGAAAGGUAAACAUUAGUGUUUUCACUCACUUGAUCAUUUAAGCUACAGUUUAUGUGCAGAAGCAAAUCAUUUGCAAUUUUUAAAAAUACAUUAUGAGUCUCAACUGACAAUCUAAUUUGAAUAAUGCGGCCAAAUGUCUUUUCAUUUCUGUAAUGCUCUCAUUUACGUGGCAUUGAGAAUGUAGAUUCCUGUACUGCGCCUCCCCGGGCCCAACUGAAGACGUUAUCUGCCAAACACUGGAUGGUUUUGGCAGAUAACCACCCGUCUCUCUCAUUAUUAGGGUAUAGAAGACAGAUUUUUGACAGCACUGUAAUAGUUGCACAUUCACAGUAGCAAAUUACACAGUGUGUGUGGAUGUGUGUGUGUGUGGGGGGGGGGGGGGGGGUGAAGUGAUCAGAGUUAUGAAAACUUGGGUGCCAUCUAAUGACUCAUAUAAUUGGACCUGCUCACAUAUCUCAAUAAUUUGAAUUCCAGUCGGCUUCCUACAAACGUGCAUUGAGUUGAUCUCAUUGCAAGAUGCUCUCCUGCUUUCACUGUUUUGUGCCUUCUACAACCUUUACCAGGGUAUUGCGGUUGCUAAUUGCCUGCUUUCAUUUGCUUGUGUUAGUUCACUCAGUUCCAUUAAAACAUGUGUUUGUCUCAGCCCUUCCUGUUCAUCUUUUGCACAGCAGUUUUUUCCCUGACAGAGGAGGGUAAAAUAAGAGUGAAUAAUGGAUCACAACGAUGAUAGCUUCCUCCAUUUUGUACUCACUAGCUCUCCAUUUCCUCAAAGGUCAACACUGUCAAUAUGAAAAAGAACGUUUGCUAUUUCCAAUGCUGGUGUGACCAGGCCUCUACAUCCAAAGAUCUUCAAUGUUUCAACAGUGAAAAGUUGAAUAUCUCCUCGAAAUACAGCUACAUUUUUAAUGAGUUGGUUUAUACAAUGAGUCAUAAGCAUUGGAUCUGAUUCGAAAUAGACCAUAUGAAACAAUAUUGAGAACAAAUUUGUUUUAAAGGUUGGUACUUCCCUGAGGAAAGCUAAAUAAGUUGUUUAUUGAAAGCCUACUUGAAUCCUCCGCAGGCCUUUUCUGAAUGGUAAACAGCCAAAUAAUCCAGCAAGUUAUAAUCUGCCAACUCACAUUAAUGGGCUAUAAAUGAUCUGUACCUCUUAACUAAAUACUGGUUUACCAUUAAUAAAGUGUUUUCCCCACUCAAAGCACUGCUCGGUCGAUGCACUGCCUCGACCUGUUGACUGUAGCCCUUCCAAAUCUAACCCACCAAAACAAGCCUUUUGCUCAGGUUGCCUUUUGCACAUGUGACCACUGGUGCAUUUCUCCAUCUUUGUCACGGCGCCAUUCAUGACAGCCCAACUCCAUCUCCCAAUAAGGAGCAAUCAGCCCCUAUCUCAAUCCUGCCCGACAGUCUGUGGAGUCUCAUCAUUGUGUCAAUGGACUGUGCUGCUCCCACAUGAUUACAGUGGUGACCUUAGCAAUCUCUGACCAAGUAUGAGGCAGUUAUCGACUUUCCUCAUCCAAAACAUAAUUGCAUGAUUCAGCAUUGUCCCGAAGUGCAAAAGCAGUGAGCUGUGUGGCAAUGAAUAUUUUCUUGGUCCCGACUUGGGAGCAUGAUGGGCUCCCAGCGGGAGAUCGUGUCAUCACCAAACAAAAUUUGCAGCAUUUGAUUAAACCCAGAGUAGGUCCACUUUGUGAUUGACUCCACUCACUUAAAGCACUUGAAAUAUUGACACGCAAACAGCUUUGGGGUAUCUAAGCAUUAAAUUCUUCUGGCUGAGUGGUAGGGAUGAGAAACUUUGGGAAAUAUGAUAUAUUGGAAAAAUGCACAAAAGCGUGCAACUUGUGAUGAAAUCCUGUGAAAUCUAUGACAUCAUCACACGCAUUUAAAAGCCUGUGUAUGGAAAUGCUUCACACGCAGGUCCUUCAAGUGUUUAAGGCCACAUCUCACGACCGAUGUUGUCGACAUUUAGACAUAUUUUCUCUUGCAAGGGGACUUAUUGGUAACGCUAUUCAAGAAACUCAACUGUUGUGUGCUUCCUCGCACAACCCAACUGUCAGAACUCAUAAAUACAACAUAACAACAUAAACAAGACCAGAGGAAUAUUAAGUUAAUUCGUGGUCCAUGUGUGCCGACCUAACACCUCUGCACUCAAAACAAAGCCUAUCAAGCUUGACAUUGCUUAAGGCCAACAUUUCAUGCUCCAAAACUCAUAUUUAUGAGCAUAAAAUACCAUUGGGAUUCAUGCAUAGAAUAUGUGGAAAAUUAAAAAUCACGUCUCGUGCCAAAUGUUUGUGCCCCUUUCAUGCAUGUCGAUUUGGAGAAUAGGAGUGCGAGUGCAUGUGCAUUGCUACCUCUAAGUGUAAAUUACAGCGCUGCCAGAAGUUGCAUGAAAAGGAGCAAAAGGUCUGUUUAUUAUUCACCGAGCUGCUGCGCGCUGCGUACUCUCACAACAAUACACGGAUGACAGUGAGCUUCAACGGUAUUAAGAGCAACAACGCUAGCCGCCAAACAUAUCAUCCAACACUCCGCCAAAGAAAGACAAAAUUGUUUAAAGACAUUGUUAACCUAAAGCCAAAUAAUCCCAGGCGACAGCUCUCCUGAAACAGCAUAUGCUAAUUCAUUCCUGUGGCAUGGUGAGUAAAAGGUAGGGAACAUGCCCGGUGCUGCUGGUGUCUUGUGGUAAUCAAAGCCUUGCACAGACGAGGAGCGACGCUCCCCUGUGGGCCAAGCAAAUUCUCCAUUACGGGCCGUGCAUAAGGAAUCAGUCCAAGCCAGUCCUACCAAGAGCCUUUCAUCAAGCGUUUUAUGGGACAAAUGUCUGUGCACCCAGGCCCAGGCUGACUCUGAUGAAUGGUGGAGAAAAGUUUCUCUUUUCUUUGUGUAGUCUUCAUUCUAGAAUUAAAUGAGAGAAAGUACAGAUUUGUCCUGUGGCUCAUUUUGCUCUGAGGUUCAGUAAUGUCCUCUACAUUACAGGAAGCAUUAUAAUGAUGAAAAGCCAUUUUUCUACAUUGUUCCACAUUAGGGAAAAGUGAUUAGCAAGAGCUUCUGUGUCUUCAAACAGGAAAUCCCCAUUUUGCAGCAUUUGGAGUGAGAUGGUUGUUUAUGGAAAUAAAGUAUAAGAAAAGUUACAACGGCAGUACUUCCUAGUACUUUAUAGUAUUACACAGUAUGAAUGUGUGCUCACCAACGACAAUACAAAAUGAAGUAGGGAAUUUCUUAAAUCAAAGAACCAAGGCCGGCCAGGGUUAUUGAUUUUGAACUUGGGAAAGAAACAGUGACCCAUAAUUACCGGUCAUGGACAACGCUUCCAUACCUUGGCCUUUAUGUUGCUGCCGGCUUGUCUGGACGUUCUCCUCAGUCCUACGUUCUGUUAUUUGCCUUUUCCCAGUUUGUAUUCCAGUGUCUUUGGUUUUUGCACUGGUACACGCUGCCAAAGGCAAUUUGAAGGGAGGGAGAAAAGAGCAUGUUUCACCCUUUUUCUGCCUUUUUCAGUGUAAGCUAAGUGACUUCUUUGGGGGAGGAGUUGCUGUCAUAUUCAAGAAGUGUCAGCCCAGCUUUUUCUACUUUGUUUGUAUUUGUUUGUAUGGCAGUGAUUGAAGACUUUUUACAUUGUAGGCAAGGAAAAGAUUCUCCCACCCAGGACAUGACGGUCAACUUUGACAACUCCGUGUUAAUGCCCACUUUGACUGCUAGGAAUCUCGGCGUGACACUCGACAGCCAACUCUCCCUGACUCACUGCGACAACACGAUCCUGUAGAAACACGCUCUACAACAUCAGGAGAAUACGUCCUCUUCUCACUCAGAAGGCAGCGCAGGUACUGAUUCAGGCUCUUGUCAUCUCCCGCCUGGACUAAUGCAACUCCCUCCUGGCAGGUCUUCCUGCUACCGCCAUUCGACCUCUGCAGCUCAUUCAGAAUGCAGCAGCUCGACUGGUCUUUAACCUUCCUAAAUUCUCCCACACUACUCCACUCCUCCGCUCUCUUCACUGGCUACCGGUGGCCGCCCGCAUCCAGUUCAAAACAUUGGUGCUCACGUACCAUGCUGUGAAUGGAUCGGGUCCAGCUUACAUCCAGGACAUGGUCAAACCCUACAUCCCAACCCGCACUCUCCGCUCUGCAUCUGCAAAACUGCUCGUCCCUCCCUCACUGAGAGCAAAACACUCGACUAGAUCUCGACUCUUUGCUGUCCUUGCUCCGAAAUGGUGGAACGAGCUCUCUGAAGACACCAGGACUGCAGAGAGCCUUCACAUCCGCCGCAAACCAAAGACACACCUCUUCAGACUCUACCUCCACUAAAAGACCAACAAAUUGUAGCACUUAAAUUGUACUUGUAACGCCACUCAUCGAUAGCAAAUUGUAAAUUGGCUUAUUUGAGGAAAUUGCACUUUCCUGUUUCUUGCUCUUCUGAGUUCGUAUCCCUAUGGUUGAAUGCACUUAUUGUAAGUCGCUUUGGAUAAAAGCGUCAGCUAAAUGACAUGUAUUGCAAUAAAAUGUAAAAGGAAAUUACGUAAUUGCAAACAGAACCAUUUAGAUAUUGAUCUACACAGAAUGCUGACAUUCACUUGAGCGAGCAGCCUAAAUAUGCAGGUAGGCAGGAGCACAGUAACCCAGUCUGGAACACACACACACACACUUACACAUGCAUAAUUAUCCACACAUGCACAGACAAGUGCACAGCACUUUUAUCAAAUUUGUUGUUACUAGUUAAACCUAUUCUAACCUUUUAUUUUAUGCAAAAAUGUACUGAAAUAUUUAAGAUAGAAAGUGGGGGAUAAUUAGGAGGGUGUAUCCAACGCGGGUACAGAGCCUCCACUCCUGCUCCUUCCACUUGGUCCACCUUCUGUGAGAGAUGGUUGGCAAUUUUUGCAUAAGCAAAGGUAGUGAAGCAGAGAACCCACAAAUUUCCCAGCACGCCCUCAUGAGAUCACGAUGGAUGGGUGGAUGUACUAAACACAAUGUGUGUCCCAUGAUGCCACUCUGGCGCAAAACACUGAAUGGCUAUUUAUAUUAAACAGCCGCUGCAAGAGAACACUACUUUCUAUAGAAAAAAAAAGAUCUGGACAGAGACAUACAGUGGCAGAAGGUUUAUACAACUAUGGCCGAUGGAAUAAGAGAUCUUUCUGGAUUCGGUAGAAAGUCAGAAGUUAAAUUGCUUCAUCUCAAAAUCUGACAGACACUCAAAAAGUAUGACAACAAUUCACUAGAGAUGAUCAAGUGACGAGAAGACAGCAAGCAAAGGGAGCAAAGAGAGAUGCUCUAAAUAUAACAGCCAAACAAUAUAAGCCGGUGUUUCCUGCUGCGUGUGCUCUGAAUGUGCUAUAGAUAGAUAGAUAGAUGCAUAAUAAGAAGAAGAAUAGAAUAGAGAAAUAAUAAAAUUCCUAUUGCUUGUAUAUGUAAGACUGCAGCUGUGCCAUCAAAUCAAUACAAAAUAAUUGAAUACAAAGAAAUGUGACCUCUAAAAAGGCCAGACUUAUCAGAAUGAAUUGGUUGGCGGCACACUAAAGCUUUAGGGUCCCACACAGGCUUUAACUGCACAGGGUAAAAGGUGUGGGCGGCGAGGAGCGUUGCUCCUGCCCACAGCUACAUUUUGAAAAACGACACCCCGUCAAUCUAAAACAAAAGACGUACAGGGGGACAGCGCCUGAUUCAAAAAAUUAAACCACUGCUAUGCUAUCAUUUUGCUAUCAUUUUUCUCAAAUGUAGAACUGGAAUCCUGCUAAUUACAGAUGAGACAUUGUUUUUAAAAGUUCAGAUCACUGGUGAUUUGUGCAUUACUUAAUUGAAGGGAACAUCCAAUUGCUACUAGAGUGAGGUCACGGGAUGAUUGCUUUCCAUACUGCUCUGUCUUCCUCUGCGCCAUAAGCGGUAAAACAUUAUUCUGCCUGGACAUUGUCUUCCCUACAGGUGGCCUUUAGAAAAAACAUAACAAGUAGCCUGUGAGUGAUGAUUUAUAAUGGUGUUUUCUGAUGCAGCAGCCUUACUUUUAUAAAAGCCUAACCCGAAGGCCUAGUUGUGCGUUUUAACUGUGAUGGGAGAACGUGGCCGACAGUCACUGUUCUUCAGUCAAAAGUCCACGUGAGAAGAGUUUUAAAUGACAUUUAACAAUAACACUUCUCACAGCGUCAGGUUGUUCUCCCAGCCCUCCGGUUAUUUGCUGGGUUAUGCUUUGGCUUUGGUUUUUCAGUUUUAAGGAUUUGACUUUGCUGGUAGAAGCUUUCUCUCUAAGAUUCAAAAGAACAAAUACACCACAGAGGUUUUGGAUUGAAAAAAAAGAAAACACACACACGCUCACAACCCCCUCACAACCACUCACAGGUUCAACGUAUGGUGCUUGACUUAUUUAUCCUUCAACAAGCUAAACUUAAAUGAACAAAAAAGGGAUGACUUAUGGUAAGGUAGAAAAAUCAAAAGGCUAAGCAAAAGAUAUGUUGUUGCUUAUUGGAUUAGUGACAACAUACCAUCAAAAUUAAAUAGUGUUGUAAUGCAAAGCGCAGUUUAUCAGUACUUUUCCCCGUAGCCAAAAACCUUUGCUCUGUCCAAUAUACGUAGACUGAUAAGAACAUUGGAUCUCUAUUAUCCUGAGUAUCUAUUUCCCUGAGGAGCUAUUACAGUCGUUAGCCUUAUCUUGUCUUUAAACAAGGGGAGCUAAAUGGCGCUCCCUCCAUCUCUAUUCAACCUGAGAGGAGGAAACCUCAGCUCGCUGGCUGAGGCGGCUUCCGUCACCGGGGACGGGGCCGGUGUCUCGCAGCCCGGGGGCAAACUGGCCUGUCUGGCCCACUGUGGCUUGAGAAAAGCGAUGACUUUCAGCGCGGGGGAUUGGGGCUGAGUCAUAAUGGGCAGCGCAGCGGAAGGAUUACAAGGGAACGCGGAGCUUAGCCACGUCUUUCUCUGGGCAUAAUGAAAUGCAUCCACCCACCAGCCUAAUUACCACUGACUCUGGCUGCUGGAGUGGAUCAUGUCCCGACUCCGUCCAAAUGUGUGUACAGGUGUCAUUUUACAAUCUGUGCGGGUAGCCUUAAUUGUCCAUCCGUCCAUCUUCACACCGCUUAUCCUGCACACAGGGUCGCGGGGGGGCUGGAGUCUAUCCCAGCCAACUUGGUCAACAGUCACUGUACGUAAUUCAAAUUGAAGUAUAGUAAUAGUUUACUCUCUAUAGGAGAAUAUAUAGUAUAUUUCAUUAAACCUUCUGUAAAUCUUCAAAAAAAAAAAAACACACAAAAUGGUCUUCCAUUGAGAAAAGGCACAAGCUGUUAUUUUCUCAGACUGAACUCCUCCGCCAUACAGAUAUUUCCGCAGGCUGUGUAGGACUCCCAACAUCUAGUAAAUUGACUUUGAUGUGUAGAAGUGGGAGACAAUACAACAACAUAUACAUGGCGGCACAAAACUCACUCUCCUUUUAGCUCUGUUUUGGUUCCGACUACCAAAGAGAAAUAUGCGUAUUUGAAGCCGCUAAAUGGUCCACUGGGCCGGUGGUUCUCAACCUUUUUUGGUUGUGAAUAAAAGAUAAAUACCACAAGGCGCUGUGUCAUCGGUGUCUGAUUUCUUAAACUGUCAACGCUGAAACAACGCAAAGCUUUGAGUGGGUUGCACCUCGAGGACGUAGCCACUGGAGUGCCUUCUCGUACCGCCAUGGGUACACGUACCCCCAUUUGAGAACCACGGCACUACGCUCGCUGUGCCGGCCUGCCGCUGAAUAUUUGGCAGGUGGUGUAAACGGGGGUUUAUCACAGCGUGGCAGCUGAAACAGCUGCCCGCGGCGUCUGCCGUGAUGCUGAUGAUAAUAGCCACGAGAGCGAACUGAAGCGUAAAGCUGGUUACGCCAAAAGACGCUAGGAGAUCACGACUGGAGAUACAGUGUUGCCGUUUUGAGGAAUGUUCCUAAUUCAAGGGUUCCGUACUGUUAGUAAUUCAGUCCGCAAACACAAGCAGCAAAUGGAAUUGGGAAAUUGUAAAAAGCACAUUUAUUCCAAUCAGGAGGCUCAGUUAAAAUCACGUUUGAGUUGCGGCCUGUUAAGCUCUUGUGUUCACGUCAGCACCGUGGCAGGGAAGACGGGACACUGCCCCGGGGUAUGAACAAACCCUCGGGGUAUCGUCUAUAGCCCCCUCAGGGCUGUCAGAGGUGGCACCUGGUGACUAGUUGAUUCAAAGCAAUGAUGUGUAGAUGUCAGUAGCUCGACAUUUGGUUGAUAAUGGUGCCGUUAUCGAGAAGUUACCGACAGAAAGGGACAAAUCUUAAUAGAAAGAUUUGUUUUGCCAGUACAAAAGGAAACUACAGGGGGGCAAUUGUGGCAUUGGGGACUUGUCAAGGAAUUAUAUUCUCAUUUCAAGAAGAAAGUGGAAAAUUCAUUUGAAUAAUCCCACAUCAACACAUUUUGUGUUGGUGCAGAAAUGGCAGCCAGUCAUUUGGCAACACUGUGAUCCUGUUGGAAUGUUUGUAUGCCACCAUCUCAAUUUUCUCUAAGCCGAGCAUCAGCAACACCUUUAGCCUCCAAACCAAUUCACUGAUCUCGCCGCUGUGAAUUUCUAAGUGGCGUCCGUGCCAUUACCUCCUGCUCUCUGACGCAGACUCGUGCACACGCCCACACACGCACAGGCGGAGCGGUCGAUGUGAUAGACAAACAUCAAAGAAGCAACGAGGAAAAGCAAAUGGCCCGGCGGCAGCUCGAGCUGAGCCACAAGGUGAGGGACAGAGUGAGACUAAUGCAAUGGGACGUGCUAAAUGUGAGCUAAAGCAGCGGCAGGAUGUGGAACACGAGGGCUUCAAAGCAGCAUGUGGGGCCUUCAGCGGUGCAGCCUCUAAUCCACACUGACAUUGUGUGAACUACAGUAACUUAACCACACAUCAACUUAGAGGCCAUUGACUCCCUCCAGAAGAUGAACUCAUCCAGGCUGACAUGCACAGGCACAACGGAGAUAUUAAUAUUUUCUCACCUCAAUAACCGUUUAGUGCACACUUCAAAUCAGGGGGAAGACGGCCGUCAUUUACUAAAUAAACCCCCACUGAACCCCAGACAACAAAGCCACUUAAGAGCGUGGUUGACCUGUGUGACUACCAAGAUACUUGACAGGCAACGCAAUCGAGCAAUUUGAUUAAGGGUCGACUCACGUGCCUACUGACAGAACGUUAACGUUUGGAAUUUACUUCUGUGUGGUUUCUUGUCGUAGGUCCUGUGUUCGCAUUGAUGGGUUUUCAGCUGAGUCUUUGGCUUCACUGUUCUUACUUCAAUAAAUGUAUAUAAAUCGCUUUAUUGCUGAAUGAAGAAAAAAACAUAGAAUACCCCCAGAUUCCUCCUUCACAACUAACCUGGCGAGCCAAUAGACGUUGAGCACUAGAGGCAGAUUUGACUCAGUCCGUUCUUAUUCAGGCCAGUGCUAACCUGAUGUGCAGGAACACCCACGGACCCGACCUGUUCGCACACAAUCUGCAGUGGCACAAUCCCAUUACUCAGCCUGUUAUUGGCCCCUUUCACACAGUGCGGCGCAGCACUGGAUCAGCCAGCCACAGCCAGCCGCGUGGCCUCUCCGGGGAAUAGACUGGCUGCUUGAUUUUCUAAGGUGAUCGUCUCACGCUCUCACCCUCCCUUACCCUUCAUUGUCCUCACUCCUGUGCGUGCUCGCUGUCUAUUCUCUCUCUCUCUCUCUGCCACGUCUGGGCUCUCUGGACAACAGGAAACCUUAUUUAGCAGUCUGCUCAGCACAGCAAUGGCAAAGCUGCCAAUUCACCUGCAUAGAUUGCCGUCUCUAUUCUCCACCCUGUCUCCAAAACACACUGCAAUUAAAAUGCCUGCGUAAGUAAACAGCUGCACCGCGAUGUCUGAUCAGCACCCCGACUCUGAUACAUACUUUUAGCAAAUUCCCUUUGGUUUCACAACCAACAAACAAUGUGAGCACCAGAGGUUCAUUGAUGAUUAGCUAGACAUUAAUCUGUGCGUCUGAAAACAUCCCAGGUCUCCUUGCAAGAUCUCGCACCGUCUCAUUCAUUCACAUCGCUCAUGACGUCCACCUGAAUUGUCCUCUUAGCUAAAAGGUGCCUAAAGCAGUUGCGAUAGGUCGCAUUGACGGUCAAACCGAUCAACCGAGUUUCCGGUCUUUUUUCAGCAAUGGCCACCGAGCUUACAACUCAAAUGAAAACCAACAGUCACUCUGCUGCAGGUCCCUGUGCUUCUGCUUUCGGAGUCUCACUUUUCUUGGCUCUAUGCUGCAAAUUGUGUGACCAAUAAACCGAUGUGUCGUUUUUUUAUUCAGAGGACACGGGGUGCAUGCAGAAUACAAAGAUUAUGCCACAGUUAAUUAAACUACAAAAGGUUCAUUGUAUAACUGCCAAUGUUCCAUCUGUGACUUUGGCCUCUGUGUUCUUUAUUUGGUCUUUAUCCUGUUUGAGAAAAAAAAAGUACCAUGUGAGAUUAGCUCAGACCUGAGCACUUCUGUACCAUCCAGAAGAUGUACUUCUUGAUUUAGGAGCUUCUAGCCAUGUGUAUUGGCUGAGUUUGGAUCUUUUUGAUGUGAAUCACAAUGUGGAAAAGAUAAAUAAGUGUUGUAAAGUGCCAGCGGCCUUGUUCUGAAGGGCACCAUCGCUGCACUUUUUCAUUUUCAACAACCACUGACGCAUCUGUCGACAAAUAAGGAUGUGGGGUAGAGUGAUCUACCGGAUAAUUACAUCACUGACCUGCUCUCCAUAUUCAGAAUGAUAAAAGCCAAGCAUGGCUGCCAACAAGACGACAAAUAUGCUUAACA
ensembl:lncRNA